GUUCGAGGCCGAGGUCAUAGGUGAGCUUACAUCCGGGAGUUCGAUCCUUUCGUGUCGUCCAUUUCGACUAUAUCCUUACGAUAAACAUGAGGGCGAAGUGGAGGAAGAAACGUAUGCGAAGACUGAAGCGCAAAAGGAGGAAGAUGAGGGCAAGGUCGAAGUAGACUGUCGUCAUCACUUUAUCUUCUCAUCAGUUGACAAUCAUCUUGGAACGUGCUGCUACAACACCAACCUGGAAUCUACAUAAACCUGACACUUGGAAGAUCAUGCAACUGCAAAGACGAAUAAACCUGUAGAUUGUUUCUUGAAGAAAUGCCCAUGGUGGUCUUGCCAAUAUUCAGCGCAUGUUAAUCGUGUAAUAACUAAUUGAAAUUACAAGCUCAAUUCCUUUUCACUUGUCAUCAUGACUAGUAAGUGGUAUGCUUUGGGAUUGUAUUCAACAUGUCUGCCUGAUGUGAAAGACUAUGUAUUCAGUGCUGUGAACUUGUCCAGCAAACCAGACUGUAAUUCCAGUGCACUGUUUUGAAGAUUAAAAUGUCUAUUGACGAUUAGAUAAACACUUUCUUUAAUUUUGUGUCAUUUUUAUCUUUGUUGAAGACAGUGUAAAAGAUUAUUAAACAUAUAAGCGAGA